UACGGAGGGUGCAAGCGUUAAUCGGAAUUACUGGGCGUAAAGCGUGCGCAGGCGGUUGUGCAAGACAGAUGUGAAAUCCCCGGGCUCAACCUGGGAAUUGCAUUUGUGACUGCACGGCCAGAGUGUGUCAGAGGGGGGUAGAAUUCCACGUGUAGCAGUGAAAUGCGUAGAGAUGUGGAGGAAUACCGAUGGCGAAGGCAGCCCCCUGGGAUAACACUGACGCUCAUGCACGAAAGCGUGGGGAGCAAACAGG
rnacentral:rRNA from 1 species